rnacentral:rRNA from 1 species
CUACGGGCGGCUACAGUGGGGAAUAUUGCACAAUGGGCGCAAGCCUGAUGCAGCCAUGCCGCGUGUAUGAAGGAGGCCUUCGGGUUGUAAAGUACUUUCAGCGGGGAGGAAGGGAGUAAAGUUAAUACCUUUGCUCAUUGACGUUACCCGCAGAAGAAGCACCGGCUAACUCCGUGCCAGCAGCCGCGGUAACACGGAGGGUGCAAGCGUUAAUCGGAAUUACUGGGCGUAAAGCGCACGCAGGCGGUUUGUUAAGUCAGAUGUGAAAUCCCCGGGCUCAACCUGGGAACUGCAUCUGAUACUGGCAAGCUUGAGUCUCGUAGAGGGGGGUAGAAUUCCAGGUGUAGCGGUGAAAUGCGUAGAGAUCUGGAGGAAUACCGGUGGCGAAGGCGGCCCCCUGGACGAAGACUGACGCUCAGGUGCGAAAGCGUGGGGAGCAAACAGGAUUAGAUACCCUUGUAGUC